rnacentral:rRNA from 1 species
GAUGAACGCUGGCGGCGUGCCUAAUACAUGCAAGUCGAGCGAACAGACGAGGAGCUUGCUCCUUUGACGUUAGCGGCGGACGGGUGAGUAACACGUAGGUAACCUACCUAUAAGACUGGGAUAACUUCGGGAAACCGGAGCUAAUACCGGAUAAUAUUUCGAACCGCAUGGUUCGAUAGUGAAAGAUGGCUUUGCUAUCACUUAUAGAUGGACCUGCGCCGUAUUAGCUAGUUGGUAAGGUAACGGCUUACCAAGGCAACGAUACGUAGCCGACCUGAGAGGGUGAUCGGCCACACUGGAACUGAGACACGGUCCAGACUCCUACGGGAGGCAGCAGUAGGGAAUCUUCCGCAAUGGGCGAAAGCCUGACGGAGCAACGCCGCGUGAGUGAUGAAGGUCUGCGGAUCGUAAAACUCUGUUAUUAGGGAAGAACAAACGUGUAAGUAACUGUGCACGUCUGGACGGUACCUAAUCAGAAAGCCACGGCUAACUACGU